rnacentral:sRNA from 1 species
GCCAGGCAUGGUGGCGCACGCCUGUAAUCCAGUGACUUGGGAGGUUGAGGCAGGAGGUUUGUGAGUUCAAAGCCAACCUCUG